ACCUCUAACCUCGUGAUGUCGGCUGUUUCCUGCUUUCUCUGCUGGACUGCCGAAGCUGCGCUGAACAUUGCUCGUCAAUUGCAGGCACACAGCUCGGAUACAGGACGCUUUAAUCAAAGCAUAAGGCUAUCGGACAUUUAUUUCACAUUCAAACAGACAGCAAUGCGAAGGAAAUCGAGGAUGUUACUAUGCUUCGCGGUCCUGUGGGUGCUUGGCAUAGCAUAUUAUUUCUAUUCGGGAACAACGUUAAGUCGAAAGGAUGACUGGAACGCUAUUGACUCAUCAAAUCAGGCCCAGGCCCACCGCAACGCAGAUGACCAAACCCACAGCCUGGAAACACUCCCCUCAGGCAAGGUGAGAUGGCAAGACUUUGACCAGGACCUAUAUGUUGGUGCUACGGUGGUGCGGCCAGGGCAGGAUCCCUACGCCCGCAACAAGUUCAACCAGGUGGAGAGUGACAAGCUGAGGAUGGACCGCGGAGUCCCUGACACCAGACACGACCACUGCCAGCAUAAACAGUGGAAGACAGAGCUGCCUGCUUCUAGUGUGAUCAUCACUUUCCACAAUGAGGCCCGCUCUGCUCUGCUCCGCACCGUGGUCAGUGUUCUUAAGAAGAGUCCCCCCCACCUUGUCAAGGAGAUAAUCCUGGUUGAUGAUUACAGUGACAACCCUGAAGAUGGAGCCUUGUUGGGGAAAAUUGAGAAGAUCCGGGUUCUUCGAAACGAUCGACGAGAAGGUCUGAUGAGAUCGCGGGUGAGAGGGGCCGACACAGCCACUGCCAGUGUUCUCACCUUCCUGGACAGCCAUUGCGAGUGUAACGAACACUGGCUGGAACCACUCCUGGAAAGGGUGGCAGAGGACAAAACGCGGGUUGUUUCCCCCAUCAUCGACGUCAUCAACAUGGACAACUUCCAGUACGUAGGCGCCUCGGCCGAUCUCAAAGGAGGAUUUGAUUGGAAUCUGGUCUUCAAGUGGGACUAUAUGACCGUGGAGCAGAGGAGGGUGCGUCAAGGAAACCCCACUGCUCCAAUCAAGACUCCCAUGAUUGCCGGCGGCCUCUUUGUCAUGGACAAGGACUACUUUGAGUUGCUGGGGAAGUACGACAUGAUGAUGGACGUGUGGGGUGGAGAGAAUCUAGAGAUCUCUUUCCGCGUGUGGCAGUGUGGCGGCAGUCUAGAGAUCAUUCCCUGCAGUAGAGUGGGCCACGUCUUCAGGAAGCAGCACCCAUAUACCUUCCCUGGGGGCAGUGGCACUGUGUUUGCUAGGAACACGAGGCGAGCAGCAGAGGUGUGGAUGGAUGAGUUUAAGAACUUUUACUACGCCGCUGUGCCCUCGGCCCGAAACGUGCCCUACGGCAACAUUCAGAGCAGGAUGGAGAUGAAGAAGAGGCUUGGCUGCCAGCCAUUCAAGUGGUACCUGGAGAAUGUGUACCCUGAGCUGCGGGUCCCUGACCAUCAGGACAUUGCCUUCGGAGCUCUGCAGCAGGGAGGGAACUGCUUAGACACGCUGGGACACUUUGCAGACGGAGUGGUGGGGGUCUACGAAUGCCACAACGCUGGGGGAAAUCAGGAAUGGGCGCUGACCAAGGACAAGUCAGUGAAGCACAUGGACCUGUGUCUGACGGUGGUGGAUCGCACCGCAGGCUCACAAAUCAAAAUGCAGGGCUGCAGGGAAAACGACAGCAGACAGAAAUGGGAGCAGAUUGAAAGCAACUCCAAGCUGCGGCACGUGGGCAGCAACCUGUGCCUGGACAGCCGCAGCGCACGUAAUGGGGGGCUGACAGUGGAGGUGUGCAGCCCCAACCUCAACCAGCAGUGGAAGUUCACCCUCAACCUCCAGCCCUAGAGAGAGAGAGAGAUGGACAGACAAACAGAGAGAGUGUCCCCCACCAGCACCACAUCCUCUCCUCCCCGGAGCCAAACAGACUAGAGCCACCCAUUACCAACAUACACAGACGGACAGACUGAGGUCCCCGGAGGGGCCACAACACACAGAGGGAAGCAGGAUAUGAAACUACAGACUACCAAGUGGGAUGAUGAUGAUUUUAAUGUUGAUGAUGAUUUUAAUGUUGGUGGUGGUGAUGAUGAUGAUGAUAAUGCUUUCCCUCCAACUAUAUACCUCAGCGUUUCAUCUUUAGUCCCGCUCUUUGGAAUGUGACAAAGUAAUUUUUCUUAUUACAGGUGAAAGGAACAUUGUGGAUGUUUUUUAUUUUGUGCGUGUCCUUUGUUCUCUCUUUCCACUGAAGUUCUGAAAUGGAUAAGACUAUUAAUUAGUAGUUUUUCUCUCUCAAGUAAUCUGUCUUUGUUGAAUGUAAAAGACGUAUUCUACAGAGGUUCCCUGACUAGACAGAGACUGGCCAGGAACAAAGCGGAUGGUCUCAGCUGGUUUUGGCCCCUUAAAGUCCUGCUGGUAGAAGGGAAAUGACUCUAUGCACUGUUCCUCUCGUUCACUCAAACGCCUCUCUCCUGAUUGGUGGACUGUUCUGCCAGAGUUGAAAAGAGAUUAAGAAAAUGAACAAUUUAGAGUUUUCAUUCUGCUCCUGUCACGCGUGUUGUAAGAAGGUACGUCGUCCGAUCAGAAGUGUUCUCUUCGCAGGCCUGGAUACUGGUGGGGCCAGGAGUUGUUGAGGGUGUGGCUGUAUCGCUGCUGAAUCCUCACAGAUUGUAGCACUGGCUGCUACGGCUCCUCAGUGUUUGUCCCCUUUCUACAUCACAAUUGAAUGGAACCCCCCCCAAAUGUUAUAUAUAUUUAUAUAUAUAUUUAUAUAUAUAUAUAUAUAUAUAUAUAUAUAUAUAUAGUAUGUUUUUCUUUGCAAAAGCAGUAGUGUCCAAGUUUAUUGUAGUUUUAUUUUAUUUCUAGCAGACAUUGAAAAAUGUGUUUUGUGUUCAAUUAUACUGUAGAAUAAUCAACUGAGUAACACAGUAAAUUGGACAGAUAUUUCUUUGUACUAUUGUUGCGUUGUGACAGUUCUCUUGUGAGUAAAAACAUAUCUACUUACUUUCUAAAAAAAAAAAAAAAAAAAAAAAGUUAUCCUUUUCAGUGUUGGUGUUACCAUAGUAACUACCCUGUCAUAACCUCAUCCAAAUCAGUAUUGAAGAGUUUAUUACAGGGUAAUGUUGGAACCAUCAUUUCCAUUCUCAGAAGUCUACAAGUGUUGUCUCACACAGUGUAUGUAUUUGUGAUGACAUUUUAGAAAAUGCCACUUGUUCAGCGCUAAGUGACAGACAGCAUGUACACUGGGAGGCCUUGCUGCAUGUUAUACCAAUACUUCUACGCCUUUUUUCUCCUUCAGUUUCUUUUUCUGUCCAUUUGUUUCUCGACAUUACUCGCAUGCUUUGUGAAUGAUGUCUUUGCCUUGUUUGAUAUCCAUCCCAUUUAAAAGAGAAUGUGUGUGCUAGUGAACAGCUUUCAACAGGUUCUUUUGAAGGAGGGAAGGUCAUUCGGCUAUAAAUAACUGCACUCACAAGGGAGAAAAGCAAUAACAUGUUCCUAUUUUCCUAUUUCAGUGUCAUUGUUGUGCAUUUAGCAUCUGCUUCGGGACCAUUCUGAUUGGGCUUCUACAUGUAGCUUGUGAUAUGUGGUACUUUAAACGUUACCGUUUACCCUUCUGAGGGGCAGCAGAACCCACCUUUAAUGUGAUGGCCAAAGGAGCCUAUAACGACUUAUGAAAGCAACAAUUCAUCCAUUGACGUGACAUUGUUUUUGUCUCGUGGGGGUUCCCCCGAUAUCAAUGGAGAUUAAUUUAUUCUAGAAUAGCAAAUUACAAAUGAUUUAGUAAUAUUUGCUUUCUGUAUUUUGUACACUCUCAUUAUAUAUGCACAUAUUUACCAUAAGCAAUCUGUGUAAGUCCUACACAUCAAUCCCUGUGUGUGCUACACCAUUCUGGUCAAACUUCCUGAUACAAAAGGAGUCUCCAACCAUACAGAAAUGAGCAUCACAACGACAGAGCAUAUGCAGCAGUCCCUAUCUGACGCUUGUGUAAAAGGUAUUGCAUUUAAAAAAUGCCAAAGAGGUGUCCCACGGUGAGAGAGGUGUCCCACGGUGAGAGAGGAAACAGACCAUAAUAUUUUAUCUGCAGUUCAGAAUGUGAGAUCCGUGUGAGAGCAGGCCUAUGAAAUCAUGAGAUGAGUUGGGGGUUGUAACCUCCCGUAUGAGAUGAGUUGGGGGUUGUAACCUCCCGUAUGAGAUGAGUUGGGGGUUGUAACCUCCCGUAUGAGAUGAGUUGGGGGUUGUAACCUCCCGUAUGAGGUGAGUUGGGGGUUGUAACCUCCCGUAUGAGAUGAGUUGGGGGUUGUAACCUCCCGUAUGAGAUGAGUUGGGGGUUGUAACCUCCCGUAUGAGGUGAGUUGACAAGUUUCACAUGGUAAGAGCUUUGUCUGCUAUCACGUACGUCACUGUUGAAAUUUAAACAAUUCUAAUGUGAAAUUCAGAUGUGUAGAGAAUGGCCUACAGUACUAAAUGGGAUUGCUCAGGUGAACAUUGUCUACAUGGUGGCAACGGUUGUUCAAGUAUUGAAUCAAGCCUUUUUUGUAAGAUUUGUGUGAAAAUGACAAGUUUGCUGUUCACUUUAGGAAUUACGGAGAGAGAAAAAAAAGAAUCCUAGCAUUACAGCCACAUUUUAAUUGGAUGACAUGUUUACAUUGCACAAUGUGCCAAAGUUAUUUACUUAUUUGAUUUACAUUGUCAAUACAAGGUGAAGGACGUGCCAUUGGAAUAAUGAUGACGGAUAAUAAACCAAAUCAAGAAAAUAGUAAUUUGGGACAUCAAAUAUGAUUUGUUCCUUUGAUAAAACGGUUUGCUGUAGGAUUGUGUAGAUUACGAUUCAAAUCACAGGGGAGGCAGCGUGGGGGUAACCAAUGUAAAAGUGUAUGUUUGUAUAUACACUACGUUGAUCCACUGUACAGUAUGAACAAGCAACACCAGUGAGUGGAUCUACUGUACAACGCUUGGAAUUGUUCACUGUUUUAUAGUUAUGGCAAAUUUACUUUAAAUUAGGAAACAUUUACUUAAAUAAAUGCAUUUAUAUAUAAGAGAUGUGGCCUUUCUUUACAUUCCUUGAAGACUUGGUUAAUUAGCAAUGAGAAAUAAGGUUUGGAAGCCAGAGUUUUGUUGGGUUGUGAUGAUCAUUCAGCCUGCUUGCUCUCAUUGCUAUGCAGAGUCCUCCUUGGGGGAAAACAGGACAGUAUUGUCAUGGAAACAGCCUCUAACAAAGAUCCAGCCCUGGCUGUUCUCCAGUGUCUCCAAUUUCCACUCAGCAAAUUGUGGACAUCUCUCUCUCAUAUUAGGGGUUCUCAAACCUCUCCUCGGGGACCCCCAUCUGUUCCAUGUAUAGGAUCCAUUUCAGAGCUAGCACACCAGAGUCAACUAAUUCUCAAGCCCUUGUCUGGGAGAGUUAGUUCAGGGCUUCAACACAACUGGGAAACGUCUGGGGGUCCCCGAGGAGAGGUUUUAAGAACCAAUCCUAGCCCUGGGGACCUCAGGUAGACAUUUGUUUCAGCCCUAGUACACCCAUGCUUGAUUCGCAUCAACUCAUCAUCAAGCCUUUAAUUAGUUGAAUCAAUUGUGUGAGUGUUAAACCAGUAUUUACCAGGAUUGGGAAACACUGGUUUAGAUGCAGGGCCAAAAGGAGGGUUGUGUUUUAGUACGCAUAAAGGUCCAGCUCUAAUACCUUCUGCAUGUACAAUACCACAGUCAGAGGAAACUAAAGGGUUUGUACAUAUGUGUAACACUCCAUCACAUCCCAGGGUAAUGUAACAGACAUGUAACAGACAUUAAAAGCCCAGUGCAGUCAAAAGUA